rnacentral:rRNA from 1 species
CCUACGGGAGGCAGCAGUGGGGAAUCUUGCGCAAUGGGCGAAAGCCUGACGCAGCAACGCCGCGUGCGGGAAGAAGGCUUUCGGGCUGUAAACCGCUUUCAGCAGGAACGAAAAUGACGGUACCUGCAGAAGAAGGAGCGGCCAACUAUGUGCCAGCAGCCGCGGUGAUACAUAGGCUUCAAGCGUUGUCCGGAUUUAUUGGGCGUAAAGAGUUCGUAGGCGGUCGAGUAAGUCGGGUGUGAAAAUUCUGGGCUCAACCCAGAGACGCCACCCGAUACUGCUUGACUUGAGUUCGAUAGGGGAGUGGGGAAUUCCUAGUGUGGCGGUGAAAUGCGCAGAUAUUAGGAGGAACACCGGUGGCGAAGGCGCCACUCUGGAUCGAUACUGACGCUGAGGAACGAAAGCAUGGGUAGCAAACAGGAUUAGAUACCCUGGUAGUCCAUGCCGUAAACGGUGGGCACUAGGUGUGGGUUUCUAUUAACGAAAUCCGCGCCGUCGCUAACGCAUUAAGUGCCCCGCCUGGGGAGUACGGUCGCAAGACUAAAACUCAAAGGAAUUGACGG